GCACUGCUGAUGAGACCCAACUAAAUCGAAACAGUUGUCCAGUGC
rnacentral:hammerhead_ribozyme from 1 species